rnacentral:rRNA from 1 species
AUACGGAGGGUGCAAGCGUUACUCGGAAUCACUGGGCGUAAAGGAUGCGUAGGCUGGAAAUCAAGUCGAGAGUGAAAUCCAACGGCUCAACCGUUGAACUGCUCUCGAAACUGGUUACCUAGAAUAUGGGAGAGGAAGAUGGAAUUGGUGGUGUAGGGGUAAAAUCCGUAGAUAUCACCAGGAAUACCGAUUGCGAAGGCGAUCUACUGGAACAUUAUUGACGCUGAGGCAUGAAAGCGUGGGGAGCAAACAGGAUUAGAUACCCUGGUAGUCCACGCCCUAAACGAUGCACACUAGUUGUUGCGAUGCUAGUCAUUGCAGUAAUGCACUUAACAGAUUAAGUGUGCCGCCUGGGGAGUACGGCCGCAAGGUUAAAACUCAAAGGAAUUGACGGGG